rnacentral:lncRNA from 1 species
AGGCCCGUCAGAACAGACUUGGGGGUGGGCAUGAGAUCUGGAAGGGAUCUACUGCAGAAAAUAGAUGCCUUUUGUUGUGCUUUCUGGCUAAAAUAACACAAGGUGGUCAUGUUUUUUUCCUUCUCUGUUUCAUGUAGUGGAUGCUAGAGCAGAAUGGUAAAAGCAUUGACUGCAGAAGAAGCCAUCAAAGUUAAAUACCGAAAAACCUACGCAGGCCAACACUUUAAAUCCUGGUGAGUUUUAACUGUCAUGAGUUUACCAGAGGAGACUUGUCACAGCUCCAGCAAAUGAUGCUCAGUCUCCUGAGACAGCAGACCAGCACCUACUUGUCUCAUGGCAGAGAGCUAAGGGCAGGCAACAAGGACGUUGUGGUUGAAUUAUCAAAAGAUUGUUGACACGUCACUCUCAAAUGUGGCUGGAUUUCCUAUAUGCCAAGGAAAUUCUCAUUCUCACUGGCCAGAUCUAUGUAAAGGCUUCUUUGGUUAGCGUCAGAAAAAGAUCAUAUUUUGCGGUAAUAUGGUCACCUGAAGUCAAUAUUUUACUACAGUGCAAAGGAAGUUUUUAACUGGAAAGGCUAAAGCAUUGUUUACUGUAGUCUACCGCUCCGUUAUUUAUGGCAGGGGUGUCAAACUCUUCAGUGGAGUGGCCUGAAUUAUGUACUUGGAGCUCAAUUCAGGGCUUCUCGCUUCCUCCCCUGCUUCACACACCGCUCCCACCGCACAAACAGCCGGGCACAACAGGAUCUUUAUCGAGUAACAGCUCUUUUAGAGGGAGAACGUGCCACAGCAACACACCACAAGCAUUUCAUCUCCAUCCCUGCUCCCUUGUGGCCCGCCCCGGCAGCAAACGACUUCCUCCUGUGCUGAGUUGGUUUCUUUCUGCUGCAGGGAAGGAGAAAGCUGAAGAGUGCAGCAGAAGUGCAAACUUCUCAGAGCCACAGCCCUACCAGCAGGGUUUUCUCCCUGACCCUGACACAAGGUGGAGGGGAGUCCUCUGGGAGGUGCAGAGAAGAUCAACCCAAACUUACCAAGGGCAGCAACCUGUGGGGAACACAGCAGGGAGGACACCGACUGCAAGAGGGAAGAGGCAUAAGGAGGCCCACAUAGACGUGGAAGAGAGAAAAAAGCAUGGAGAGCUGAGAGGACCUCAUGAAGAAGAUCCCAUGGCUUGGUGUCUUUCAUCAACCCUCCAUUAACAAAGCCCAGACCAAGAACUGAAAAAAAUAUCACGCCGGCUGAUUUUGGAGCAGCUCAUCUGUAAAUCAUCCCUUUGGGCUUGGGCCUCUCCCGCUGGGGUUCAGCCUGAGUGACUUUUUACAGCCGAGUUAUAAACUUUUAAAUGCCAGACUUAAUCAGAGCUACUGAGACGGCCAUUACAGGAGUGGUUUAAGUGGCAGAGCCCUGAUAUAUGGGGGCACGGAAAGGAG